rnacentral:rRNA from 1 species
GACGAACGCCGGCGGCGCGCUUAACACACGCAAGUCGAACGGAAAGGCCCUGCUUUUGUGGGGUGCUCGCGUGGCGAACGGGUGAGUAACACGUGCGUAACCUGCCCUUGACUUUGGGAUAACUUCAGGAAACUGGGGCUAAUACCGGAUAGGAGCUCCUGCUGCAUGGUGGGGGUUGGAAAGUUUCGGCGGUUGGGGAUGGACUCGCGCCUUAUCAGCUUGUUGGUGGGGUAGUGGCUUACCAAGGCUUUGACGGGUAGCCGGCCUGAGAGGGUGACCGGCCACAUUGGGACUGAGAUACGGCCCAGACUCCUACGGGAGGCAGCAGUGGGGAAUAUUGCACAAUGGGCGGAAGCCUGAUGCAGCAACGCCGCGUGCGGGAUGACGGCCUUCGGGUUGUAAACCGCUUUCGCCUGUGACGAAGCGUGAGUGACGGUAAUGGGUAAAGAAGCACCGGCUAACUACGUG